GACGAACCGAGCGAACGUUGUUCGGAAUCACUGGGCUUAAAGGGCGCGUAGGCGGGUGCUCAAGUCCGUGGUGAAAUCCUCCGGCUCAACCGGAGAACUGCCUCGGAUACUGGGCGUCUCGAGUGUGGUAGGGGUAUGCGGAACUAUCGGUGGAGCGGUGAAAUGCGUUUGAUAUCGAUAGGAACUCCGGUGGCGAAGGCGGCAUACUGGACCACCACUGACGCUGAUGCGCGAAAGCCAGGGGAGCGAACGGG
rnacentral:rRNA from 1 species